GUUUUCAUACCAGAAAAACCCAUUCCAGCUACGAUGGGAAGUUUCGAAUACAUUAUACAAUUGACCACUUUCCAUGUUUCUAUACCAAACUAUGCCACCAUUGAGAAACAGUCAUAACCCUGCAGAGCCUGCUUACUGUUACUCUAUAUCUAUAAUUAACAUUUAAGUUGCAUGUCGAUCCAAAAAGGGCUUGAUGUCACGAUGAACAAUCUACAGAAUUUUGUGAAGAUGGAGAAAAGCUCAAAUAUCUGUCAAGAUCAAUGAUGACACAACAACAACAUACGCUAGAAAGAAGAAAAUUGCAAUCUGAAUGAAGAACUUGGGAUUGUCCCUCAUGUUUGGAGAUGUUACCGCCCUAGCAAUGCGUUGUGAAAGCCGGUGAAAAGGCAUGCUUUGAAUAAACACAAUACCAGGCCCCGUUAGGACAGCUGUCACCAGAUUAUCAUUCCCAAAUACCACCCUUCGCAUGGGUCCAUUGUAUUUCACUUGAACAUUGACAGUUGAUGAUAAUGCAACGACACUUGGCACAUCAACA
rnacentral:misc_RNA from 1 species